rnacentral:tRNA from 1 species
AGCUCAAUUGGUAGAGCAUGAGACUCUUAAUCUCAGGGUAGUGGGUUCAAGCCCCAC